GCUGGUGUGGCGAAACUGGUAAACGCGGAGACUUCGCACGUCUCUGGGCUCACGCCCUUGCGGGUUCGAAUCCCGCCACCAGCA
rnacentral:tRNA from 3 species